ensembl:lncRNA
CUGGCCUGAGGAAGGAGUGUGAAGGGAUGAAUGAAAAGUCCGGAGCCUGAGAGCGCCCCCGCCAGAGCAGCGGCCGAGGCUGAGGAGGGAGCUGGGACUCGAGACCCCGCUCCACCCUGCCGGCUCCGGCUCGGCCUCGUCCGUCACCUGGUAAGCCCGGGUACCCUCGACUCAGUCCGCGGAGUUGCCUGGGUGGGAACGCACCGGAAGACUGCGCAGGACAGCACCACUGGGCACCCUGGGCUUGAUGUAAGUGGCUUGACCCGCGUGGGGCACGAGGUGGGGAAGCGCCCCAGAGGCCAGCGCGCGUCUGCCACCUGCGAGCACAGAGCCAGCCCCACACCCUCUGUGCGACCCUGGACCUCGCAGUGGAUUCAGUCCGGAUCGCCACCCCCCACCCCUGUCAACAACUAAGGGCAUCUCUCGUUCAGACCCCCGGUAAUUUUCACAUCCCUGGGUUAUUUCGGCUGCUAUUUGCACAAAAUCGACUCUCGCGCUUCGGUGGGUCCGGAGCUCGGCACACCUGCCGACCGCCCUCUGCACUCCCGGCAACCCCACGUCCUGACUGCUCACUCAUCUCUCUCUGGGUGGGGUCUUUGCCCUUGGGAGACUCUCCGGGGAGUCUCGGUAUAACCCUCCAUCCUGCGGCCAGCCACAGGCUUCCUCUCUGGGCCUCGAGAUUCUCCAGUGCUGGGGUUCCGGUCCCGGGGGUUCGCGGUCCGCUCCCCUUCAGUCGGUAGCUGGGACCAGCUCUGCGAGCUCGGCUCUGCCGCACCCACGCGGGGCUUGGACCCCACCUUCCCGAGGAGGGUGUGGACACCGGGGGAGGUUGGGGAGGCCUCUGCUCGGCCUCUGCGGUCUUCCCGGGUGGCACGAAAGGCCCCGUAGCCCUUCCACCGGCCUGGGCGGGCGGAGCCCGGCUUCUACAUCGAGGGGGAGGCAGUGGGAAAUGGGCGGUCAGGCUUGGGUUGCUUGGAUCCACCCUGGAUUCCUGACAUCAGAACCGUCGGCGGUCGCAUCCUUUCGAGGUUUCGUCGUGUCAGUGCAUGAGGUCCAGGACCCCAUCUCUUCGCCUCCAUACCACGUGUGUCCCCCACCCGCCGUCGAGCGACGCAAGACUGCGGAGGUCCAGGCGGCGUCCGGGAGGCUGCGUGGAAGAGGAGGCGGCGGCCAGGAGGCGGGAGGGCCCGAAACGCAGGCGGCAGCAGGGCUGCAUGCUGGAAGGAGAGCCGCGCCAGGAGUCCCACGAGGCUGGGGGGCCGGGGAUGUCGUCGCCUUCGAGGGUUGCUUAGCUCAGGUCACCUUCGAGAUCCCCACCCGUAACCCGCUGAUCUGAGAAGAAAGCAAGAAGUCGCUUUGGGGUCGCCUCUGGAGACCUGGUCAGAUCGGAGCAGUCCGGGCCCCAGUACCAGAAAGCUGCUCCCAGGAGAGACAAAGUCGUUGGAAUCUAGUUGGAAGGUUGUGGGGGACAUGCCAGCACCCUUUCCCUGGUCUUGAUACCUGCUCCGGGGAGCAGCAGCGGGCGACUGGUGUGAGCAGCUUCCCUUUGGCUCUUCGAAGAGAGUGGUGGGAGUUCGAGCUUCUCCCCUGGGCGGGUGGGUGCUCCACCCUCCCGCCCUCUCCGCUCUGUGGACAAGGACGUGAGGACCAGAGACAUCCAGCACCACGGACAGCUCCCAGCGAUGACCCAGAAAGCCAGGUGUGGUGCUUCACACCUGUAAUCUCAGCACCUGGACAUCUGGGGCAGAAGAAUGGCCAAAGAGAAGACCUGACCUGGCCCCAAGCUCCCCAAGGGCAAAGUGUGUUCCCAGAUUGAGAAGGGGCUGCCUCCAGCAAACAGAUGUGAACAGAGGCAGAGGGCACCACCCGGCAGCUUCUCCCCAAGCUAUGGAAUGCGGGCUUUGCUCACCUGGUCACUUCCAGCAAGUUGUCCCACCCGGCCCAUCUAUUUCUCCUGUUGCCUCUCGGCUGCAUCCCUAAAUCCUACCCCAUGUCCAAUAAAGAGUGUUGCAGACUGAACAGC